CCUACGGGAGGCAGCAGUGAGGAAUAUUGGUCAAUGGACGCAAGCCUGAACCAGCCAUGCCGCGUGCAGGAAGACGGCUCUACGAGUUGUAAACUGCUUUUGUACGAGGGCAAACGCAGAUACGUGUAUCUGUCUGCAAGUAUCUUACGAAUAAGGAUCGGCUAACUCCGUGCCAGCAGCCGCGGUAAUACGGAGGAUUCAAGCGUUAUCCGGAUUUAUUGGGUUUAAAGGGUGCGUAGGCGGUCGGAUAAGUUAGAGGUGAAAUCCCGGGGCUCAACUGCGGAAUUGCCUCUGAUACUGUUCGGCUAGAGAGUAGUUGCGGUAGGCGGAAUGUAUGGUGUAGCGGUGAAAUGCUUAGAGAUCAUACAGAACACCGAUUGCGAAGGCAGCUUACCAAGCUACUACUGACGUUGAGGCACGAAAGCGUGGGGAGCGAACAGGAUUAGAUACCCCUGUAGUC
rnacentral:rRNA from 1 species